GAUGAACGCUGGCGGCGUGCCUAAUACAUGCAAGUCGAGCGAACGGACGAGAAGCUUGCUUCUCUGAUGUUAGCGGCGGACGGGUGAGUAACACGUGGAUAACCUACCUAUAAGACUGGGAUAACUUCGGGAAACCGGAGCUAAUACCGGAUAAUAUUUUGAACCGCAUGGUUCAAAAGUGAAAGACGGUCUUGCUGUCACUUAUAGAUGGAUCCGCGCUGCAUUAGCUAGUUGGUAAGGUAACGGCUUACCAAGGCAACGAUGCAUAGCCGACCUGAGAGGGUGAUCGGCCACACUGGAACUGAGACACGGUCCAGACUCCUACGGGAGGCAGCAGUAGGGAAUCUUCCGCAAUGGGCGAAAGCCUGACGGAGCAACGCCGCGUGAGUGAUGAAGGUCUUCGGAUCGUAAAACUCUGUUAUUAGGGAAGAACAUAUGUGUAAGUAACUGUGCACAUCUUGACGGUACCUAAUCAGAAAGCCACGGCUAACUACGUGCCAGCAGCCGCGGUAAUACGUAGGUGGCAAGCGUUAUCCGGAAUUAUUGGGCGUAAAGCGCGCGUAGGCGGUUUUUUAGUCUGAUGUGAAAGCCCACGGCUCAACCGUGGAGGGUCAUUGGAAACUGGAAAACUUGAGUGCAGAAGAGGAAAGUGGAAUUCCAUGUGUAGCGGUGAAAUGCGCAGAGAUAUGGAGGAACACCAGUGGCGAAGGCGACUUUCUGGUCUGUAACUGACGCUGAUGUGCGAAAGCGUGGGGAUCAAACAGGAUUAGAUACCCUGGUAGUCCACGCCGUAAACGAUGAGUGCUAAGUGUUAGGGGGUUUCCGCCCCUUAGUGCUGCAGCUAACGCAUUAAGCACUCCGCCUGGGGAGUACGACCGCAAGGUUGAAACUCAAAGGAAUUGACGGGGACCCGCACAAGCGGUGGAGCAUGUGGUUUAAUUCGAAGCAACGCGAAGAACCUUACCAAAUCUUGACAUCCUUUGACAACUCUAGAGAUAGAGCCUUCCCCUUCGGGGGACAAAGUGACAGGUGGUGCAUGGUUGUCGUCAGCUCGUGUCGUGAGAUGUUGGGUUAAGUCCCGCAACGAGCGCAACCCUUAAGCUUAGUUGCCAUCAUUAAGUUGGGCACUCUAAGUUGACUGCCGGUGACAAACCGGAGGAAGGUGGGGAUGACGUCAAAUCAUCAUGCCCCUUAUGAUUUGGGCUACACACGUGCUACAAUGGACAAUACAAAGGGCAGCGAAACCGCGAGGUCAAGCAAAUCCCAUAAAGUUGUUCUCAGUUCGGAUUGUAGUCUGCAACUCGACUACAUGAAGCUGGAAUCGCUAGUAAUCGUAGAUCAGCAUGCUACGGUGAAUACGUUCCCGGGUCU
rnacentral:rRNA from 1 species